GCGGGAGUAGCUCAGCUGGCUAGAGCGCAACCUUGCCAAGGUUGAUGUCGCGGGUUCGAAUCCCGUCUCCCGCUCCA
rnacentral:tRNA from 1 species